rnacentral:rRNA from 3 species
GUGACGAUAGCCUAGGAGAUACACCUGUACCCAUGCCGAACACAGAAGUUAAGCCCUAGAACGCCGGAAGUAGUUGGGGGUUGCCCCCUGUGAGAUA